AGAGUUUGAUCCUGGCUCAGGAUGAACGCUGGCGGCGUGCCUAAUACAUGCAAGUCGGACGGGGUGUUUGAGCAAUCGGACACUUAGUGGCGAACGGGUGAGUAACGCGUUGGUGACCUGCCCCAAAGCGGGGGAUAACAGCCUGAAAGGGUUGCUAAUACCGCAUAUGGUCUAGGGAGAUUAGAAGCUCUAGAUUAAAGGAGAAAUCCACUUUGGGAGGGGCCUGCGUCCCAUCGGCUAGUUGGUAGGGUAAAAGCCUACCAAGGCGAUGACGGGUAGGGGACCUGAGAGGGUGACCCCCCACAAUGGAACUGAAACACGGUCCAUACACCUACGGGUGGCAGCAGUAGGGAAUAUUGCACCAUGGGCGAAAGCCUGACCCAGCAACGCCGCGUGAGGGAAGAAGGCUUUCGGGUUGUAAACCUCUGUCCUUGGUGACGAAACAAAUGACGGUAGCCAAGGAGGAAGCCCCGGCUAACUACGUGCCAGCAGCCGCGGUAAUACGUAGGGGGCGAGCGUUGUCCGGAAUUACUGGGCGUAAAGGGUGCGUAGGUGGCCUUUUAAGUUGGAUGUGAAAUACCCGGGCUUAACCUGGGGGGUGCAUCUAAUACUGGGAGGCUAGAGUGCAGGAGAGGAAAGCGGAAUUCCUAGUGUAGCGGUGAAAUGCGUAGAUAUUAGGAGGAACACCAGUGGCGAAGGCGACUUACUGGUCUUUUGCUGACGCUGAGGCACGAAAGCGUGGGGAGCANACAGGAUUAGAUACCCUGGUAGUCCACGCUGUAAACGAUGGAUACUAGGUGUGGGGGACAUACAACCUCUGUGCCGGAGCUAACGCAUUAAGUAUCCCGCCUGGGGAGUACGGUCGCAAGGCUGAAACUCAAAGGAAUUGACGGGGGCCCGCACAAGCAGCGGAGCAUGUGGUUUAAUUCGAAGCAACGCGAAGAACCUUACCAAGACUUGACAUCCUCUGACAACCAUAGAAAUAUGGCUUCCCUUCGGGGCAGAGUGACAGGUGGUGCAUGGUUGUCGUCAGCUCGUGUCGUGAGAUGUUGGGUUAAGUCCCGCAACGAGCGCAACCCUUAUCAUUAGUUGCCAGCACGUAAUGGUGGGAACUCUAAUGAGACUGCCGGGGAUAACUCGGAGGAAGGUGGGGACGACGUCAAAUCAUCAUGCCCCUUAUGUCUUGGGCUACACACGUGCUACAAUGGCCGGUACAAAGGGCAGCGAUACCGUAAGGUGGAGCGAAUCCCAAAAAGCCGGCCCCAGUUCGGAUCGUGGGCUGCAACCCGCCCACGUGAAGCCGGAGUUGCUAGUAAUCGCGAAUCAGCAUGUCGCGGUGAAUGCGUUCCCGGGCCUUGUACACACCGCCCGUCACACCAUGGGAGUUGGGAGCGCCCGAAGCCAGUGGGCUAACCAGUAAUGGAGGCAGCUGUCGAAGGUGAGACCAAUGACUGGGGUGAAGUCGUAACAAGGUAACC
rnacentral:rRNA from 1 species